UACGUAGGGGGCUAGCGUUGUCCGGAAUCAUUGGGCGUAAAGAGCGCGUAGGCGGCCAGAUAAGUCCGGUGUGAAAGUCACAGGCUCAACCUGUGAAUGCCGCUGGAAACUGUCUGGCUAGAGUCCGGGAGGGGCGAGUGGAAUUCCUGGUGUAGCGGUGAAAUGCGUAGAUAUCAGGAAGAACACCGGUGGCGAAAGCGCUCUGCUAGGCCGCAACUGACACUGAGGGACGAAAGCUAGGGGAGCGAAUGGG
rnacentral:rRNA from 1 species